rnacentral:rRNA from 1 species
GGAUGGGCCCGCCUCCGAUUAGCUAGUUGGUAGGGUAAAAGCCUACCAAGGCUACGAUCGGUAGCUGGUCUGAGAGGAUGGUCAGCCACACUGGGACUGAGAUACGGCCCAGACUCCUACGGGAGGCAGCAGUCUAGAGGCUUCGGCAAUGGGGGCAACCCUGACCGAGCGACGCCGCGUGUGGGAUGAAGCCCUUCGGGGUGUAAACCGCUGUUAGCAGGAAAGAAUACCGGGAAAGUGAUUCCCGGGGUGACGGUACCUGCAGAGGAAGCCACGGCUAACUCCGUGCCAGCAGCCGCAGUAAGACGGAGGUGGCAAGCGUUAUUCGGAUUUAUUGGGCGUAAAGGGCGCGUAGGCGGUUUGGUAAGUCUGAUGUGAAAUCUCCAUCGCUCAACGAGGAGUCUGCAUCGGAUACUGCCAAUCUUGAGUACGGGAGAGGUGAGUGGAAUUCCUGGUGUAGCGGUGGAAUGCGUAGAUAUCAGGAGGAACACCGGUGGCGAAAGCGGCUCACUGGCCCGUAACUGACGCUGAGGCGCGAAAGCGUGGGGAGCAAACAGGAUUAGAUACCCUGGUAGUCCACGCUGUAAACAAUCACACUAGGUGUGGGAGGGAGUUACCCUUCCGUGCCGUAGCAAACGCAUUAA